UCGAUUGAGUUUGAUCAUGGCUCAGGAUGAACGCUAGCGGCAGGCUUAAUACAUGCAAGUCGAGGGGCAGCGGGGGUAGCAAUACCUGCCGGCGACCGGCAAACGGGUGCGGAACACGUACGCAACCUUCCUUUAACUGGAGAAUAGCCCCUCGAAAGAGGGAUUAAUACUCCGUAACAUAUUGAUAAGGCAUCUUAUUAAUAUUAUAGUCUUCGGGCGGUUAAAGAUGGGCGUGCGCCUGAUUAGAUAGUUGGUGAGGUAACGGCUCACCAAGUCUGCGAUCAGUAACUGGUGUGAGAGCACGACCAGUCACACGGGCACUGAGACACGGGCCCGACUCCUACGGGAGGCAGCAGUAAGGAAUAUUGGUCAAUGGACGCAAGUCUGAACCAGCCAUGCCGCGUGGAGGAUUAAGGCCCUCUGGGUUGUAAACUCCUUUUAUCUGGGAAGAAAUGCCAUUUUUCUAAAUGGUUUGACGGUACCAGAGGAAUAAGCACCGGCUAACUCCGUGCCAGCAGCCGCGGUAAUACGGAGGGUGCAAGCGUUAUCCGGAUUCACUGGGUUUAAAGGGUGCGUAGGCGGGCAGGUAAGUCCGUGGUGAAAUCUCUGAGCUUAACUCAGAAACUGCCAUGGAUACUAUUUGUCUUGAAUACUGUGGAGGUAAGCGGAAUAUGUCAUGUAGCGGUGAAAUGCUUAGAUAUGACAUGGAACACCAAUUGCGAAGGCAGCUUACUACACAGUUAUUGACGCUGAGGCACGAAAGCGUGGGGAUCAAACAGGUUAGAUACCCUGGUAGUCCACGCCCUAAACGAUGAUUACUCGACAUCAGCGAUACACUGU
rnacentral:rRNA from 1 species